rnacentral:rRNA from 1 species
UACAGAGGUCCCCGAGCGUUGUUCGGAUUCACUGGGCGUAAAGGGUGCGUAGGUGGUGAGGUAAGUCGGAUGUGAAAUCUCCAGGCUCAACCUGGAAACUGCAUUGGAAACUACCUUGCUUGAGGGGUUUUGAGGGGGGACGUGGAAUUCUCGGUGUAGCAGUGAAAUAGCGUAGAUAUCGAGAGGAACACCAGUGGCGAAGGCGAGUCCCUGGAAAACAACCUGACACUGAGGCACGAAAGCUAGGGGAGCAAACAGGAUUAGAUACCCCA